UACGAAGGGUGCAAGCGUUACUCGGAAUUACUGGGCGUAAAGCGUGCGUAGGCGGUUUGUUAAGUCCGUUGUGAAAGCCCUGGGCUCAACCUGGGAAUUGCAGUGGAUACUGGCGAGCUAGAGUGCGGUAGAGGAUGGUGGAAUUCCCGGUGUAGCGGUGAAAUGCGUAGAGAUCGGGAGGAACAUCAGUGGCGAAGGCGGCCAUCUGGGACAACACUGACGCUGAAGCACGAAAGCGUGGGGAGCAAACAGG
rnacentral:rRNA from 1 species